AAGACUAUACUUUCAGAGAUCAUUUCUAUAGUGACUGACUAGGAAAUGUGAUUUGAAAGUGAUGCGUCUUCCUAGUCCUGAUGAAGAGCGGUGAUGUAUUCUUCUGAACUUGAAUCAGAUUCAAGCUAAUGAUUUCUAUCACUUGCUUGAGUCGUUGAUGAAUGUUCUCUGUUUUUUAUGAAGCCUGAGACGAAGAGUACGUGAUCAGAGUGAU